GACGAACGCUGGCGGCGUGCUUAACACAUGCAAGUCGAGCGGAAAGGCCCUUCGGGGUCCUCGAGCGGCGAACGGGUGAGUAACACGUGAGUAACCUGCCCCAGACUUUGGGAUAACCCUCGGAAACGGGGGCUAAUACCGGAUACGACACAGCUUCGCAUGGGGUCUGUGUGGAAAGUUUUUCGGUUUGGGAUGGGCUCGCGGCCUAUCAGCUUGUUGGUGGGGUGAUGGCCUACCAAGGCGACGACGGGUAGCCGGCCUGAGAGGGCGACCGGCCACACUGGGACUGAGACACGGCCCAGACUCCUACGGGAGGCAGCAGUGGGGAAUAUUGCACAAUGGGCGGAAGCCUGAUGCAGCGACGCCGCGUGAGGGAUGACGGCCUUCGGGUUGUAAACCUCUUUCAGCAGGGACGAAGCGUAAGUGACGGUACCUGCAGAAGAAGCGCCGGCCAACUACGUG
rnacentral:rRNA from 1 species